rnacentral:hammerhead_ribozyme from 1 species
AUCCAGUUGAUGAGUCCCAAAUGGGACGAAACACGAGUCCUGGAU